rnacentral:lncRNA from 1 species
AGUGCCACCUUGCCUUCGAGCCUGCGAGCAUUCCAUAUAUAAAAGCUCAGCUUAAUGCAUGAUAGGUUUCUAUGAUGAUUUUAAGAACAAGCAUUGGUCAAGUUGCGCGAUGCCUUUACCUUCUCGCGACUGAAGAGAGGACGCCGGCGCUUCCCAUCGCGGGUCUCUUGGUGGAAGGAGUAGAGAUGAGAGAGACGAGGGUAGAGGCUUCUUCCACGUAGGUGCAGGCUCUGUUUUUGAUUGAGUAAUUCAAGUACCGGUCUUUUUAUGGACCCAGUUGUACCAGGAAGCCCUGCUUGAUUGUUGUUUACCUGACGCUGCUUUAACAUCUGGUUCCCAUCUCAUUCCUUCUCACUUCAAAAUCUCAAAUCGCCCUUCCCUACGAAAAAAAAAUCCCUAACCUCACUUGAUCAACGGCCCUCUAGCCAUCUUUUGAUCUCAGCCAACCACCAGACCUUGGCCAACGUCCCAACGCCCAUCUCGAUCCCCAGUUCAGUCAACCAUCAAGCGGCCACCUACCUCCCUCUACCCACCUCUGGCAAAAGUUUGCCGCUUGCGUUUACAAUCAUUUAUUAUGAUUUAAGGACAUAUAUUAAUGCACUUGACACUUCUUUAUAUGUUCUCGUUAUUGUAAAAUAGUUACUGUCAUAAACUUAGCUGAAUUUCUAUUUCUGGGCUCAUAUGAAAUGAAAUGUAAAAAGAAACCAAUUGCAUGUAGGUACUAACUGUGUGAUGGAGGACAUUAACUAUGUGCAGAAGGAUGAUCCAAAGCCAUCUCACAUGAGCAAUAAAUGAAUAUGUCCGGUUAGGUGCCAGCAUAGAGAUGACUUCGCAUAUGUAUGGGAGAGGGUCAAGAUAUCCUUGUCUCUAAUAAACGUCCGCUUCUGAUGAUUUCUGAAUCUUCUAAAUUA